UACAGAGGUCUCAAGCGUUGUUCGGAUUUACUGGGCGUAAAGGGUGCGUAGGCGGCAGUGCAAGUCGAAUGUGAAAUCUCGGGGCUCAACCUCGAAACUGCAUUCGAUACUGCAUCGCUAGAGGAUUGUAGAGGAGUGUGGAAUUCACGGUGUAGCAGUGAAAUGCGUAGAUAUCGUGAGGAAGACCAGCGGCGAAGGCG
rnacentral:rRNA from 1 species